UAGCAAUACAGAGCGGCGCACGGGUGAGUAACACGUGGGAACGUGCCCUUUGGUUCGGAAUAACUCAGGGAAACUUGAGCUAAUACCGGAUAAGCCCUUACGGGGAAAGAUUUAUCGCCAUUGGAGCGGCCCGCGUCCGAUUAGCUUGUUGGUGAGGUAAAAGCUCACCAAGGCAACGAUCGGUAGCUGGUCUGAGAGGACGACCAGCCACACUGGGACUGAGACACGGCCCAG
rnacentral:rRNA from 1 species